GACGAACGCUGGCGGCGUGCUUAACACAUGCAAGUCGAACGGAAAGGCCCUGCUUGCAGGGUGCUCGAGUGGCGAACGGGUGAGUAACACGUGGGUGAUCUGCCCCUUAUUUUGGGAUAAGCCUGGGAAACUGGGUCUAAUACUGGAUAGGACCAUGCUGUAGGUGGUGUGGUGGAAAGAUUAGUUUCGGUAAGGGAUGAGCUCGCGGCCUAUCAGCUUGUUGGUGGGGUAAUGGCCUACCAAGGCGUCGACGGGUAGCCGGCCUGAGAGGGGGGACGGCCACAUUGGGACUGCGAUACGGCCCCGACUCCUACGGGAGGCAGCAGUGGGGAAUAUUGCACAAUGGGCGCAAGCCUGAUGCAGCGACGCCGCGUGGGGGAUGACGGCCUUCGGGUUGUAAACUCCUUUCAGCCAUGACGAAGCCCUUGUGGUGACGGUAGUGGUAGAAGAAGCACCGGCUAACUACGUG
rnacentral:rRNA from 1 species